UACAGAGGGGGCAAGCGUUGUUCGGAAUUACUGGGCGUAAAGGGCGCGUAGGCGGCCGCCUAAGUCAGACGUGAAAUCCCUCGGCUCAACCGGGGAACUGCGUCUGAUACUGGGUGGCUUGAAUCCGGGAGAGGGAUGCGGAAUUCCAGGUGUAGCGGUGAAAUGCGUAGAUAUCGGAAGGAACACCAGUGGCGAAGGCGGCUUCCUGGACUAAUACUGACGCUGAGGUGCGAAAGCGUGGGGAGCAAACAGG
rnacentral:rRNA from 1 species